rnacentral:rRNA from 1 species
GUGUCAGCCGCCGCGGUAAUACGUAGGGUCCGAGCGUUGUCCGGAGUUACUGGGCGUAAAGCGCGCGCAGGCGGCGGUGUAAGCAUGGCGUGAAAGCCCCAGGCUCAACCUGGGAGGGUCGUCGUGGACUGCACCGCUUGAGGGCGGUAGGGGCUGGUGGAAUGCCUGGUGUAGUGGUGAAAUGCGUAGAGAUCAGGCGGAACACCCGUGGCGAAGGCGGCCAGCUGGGCCGUCCCUGACGCUGAGGCGCGAAGGCGUGGGGAGCGAACGGGAUUAGAUACCCGGGUAGUCC